UUGUAAACCUCUUUUGUCAAGGAAGAAGCCCUUCGGGGUGACGGUACUUGGAGAAAAAGCACCGGCUAACUACGUGCCAGCAGCCGCGGUAAUACGUAGGGUGCGAGCGUUGUCCGGAAUUAUUGGGCGUAAAGAGCUCGUAGGCGGUUUGUCGCGUCUGCUGUGAAAUCCCGAGGCUCAACUUCGGGCUUGCAGUGGGUACGGGCAGACUAGAGUGCGGUAGGGGAGAUUGGAAUUCCUGGUGUAGCGGUGGAAUGCGCAGAUAUCAGGAGGAACACCGAUGGCGAAGGCAGAUCUCUGGGCCGCUACUGACGCUGAGGAGCGAAAGGGUGGGGAGCAAACAGGCUUAGAUACCCUGGUAGUCCACCCCGUAAACGUUGGGAACUAGAUGUGGGGGCCUUUCCACGGUCUCCGUGUCGCAGCUAACGCAUUAAGUUCCCCGCCUGGGGAGUACGGCCGCAAGGCUAAAACUCAAAGGAAUUGACGGGGGCCCGCACAAGCGGCGGAGCAUGCGGAUUAAUUCGAUGCAACGCGAAGAACCUUACCAAGGCUUGACAUAUACGGGAACGCCCUAGAAAUAGGGUUCUCUUUGGACACUCGUAUACAGGUGGUGCAUGGUU
rnacentral:rRNA from 1 species